CCUGAAGAGGCCAGAUCCAAAGAAGUCUGAGAGAAGACCAUGUGGAGAGAGGGCCAGCGAUCUGAGUCGGUCCAGCCAUUCCAGCUGAGCUGCCAGUUGUAGCCACGGGACUCUCUAAUCCACCACCAGGGUUUGUCUACCAUUGUCCCACUUGCCUGAAUAAAUUGCUUUCUGAAGGCAUGAAGACUUAGACAAGAAAAACAAGUGGAAAGAGGCUGGUCACAGAAAGCUGAGCAGUUCAAAACUCAUUAGGUGGGGAGCUAAGCAAGUUGGGACUUCCUGGCCGGCUCCUGGUCACAGCAGCAGGCGGGAGCAUCCGCCCAGAUCCCCC
rnacentral:lncRNA from 1 species